rnacentral:rRNA from 1 species
AUGGUGUAGCAAUACACCGGAAGAUUUAGUGGCGAACGGGUGAGGAUCACGUGAGAAACCUGCCCCAGACUUUGGGAUAACAAUUGGAAACGAUUGCUAAUACCGAAUGACGUCGGAGAACCGCAUGGUUCACUGACGAAAGGAAAUCCGGUUUGGGAGGGUCUCGCGGCCUAUCAGCUUGUUGGUGGGGUAAUGGCCUACCAAGGCAACGACGGGUAGCUGGUCUGAGAGGAUGAUCAGCCACACUGGGACUGAGACACGGCCCAGACUCCUACGGGAGGCAGCAGUGGGGAAUCUUGCGCAAUGGGCGAAAGCCUGACGCAGCAACGCCGCGUGCGGGAUGAAGGCCUUCGGGCUGUAAACCGCUUUCAGCAGGAACGAAAAUGACGGUACCUGCAGAAGAAGGAGCGGCCAACUACGUGCCAGCAGCCGCGGUGACACGUAGGCUCCAAGCGUUGUCCGGAUUUAUUGGGCGUAAAGAGCUCGUAGGCGGUUUAGUAAGUCGGGUGUUAAAACUCUGGGCUCAACCCGGAGAGGCCAUCCGAUACUGCUGUGACUUGAGUUCAGGAGGGGAGCGGGGAAUUCCUAGUGUAGCGGUGAAAUGCGCAGAUAUUAGGAGGAACACCGGUGGCGAAGGCGCCGCUCUGGACUGAAACUGACGCUGAGGAGCGAAAGCAUGGGUAGCAAACAGGAUUAGAUACCCUGGUAGUCCAUGCCGUAAACGGUGGGCACUAGGUGUGGGUUCCAACUAACGGGAUCCGCGCCGUCGCUAACGCAUUA